UCCUGGCAGCUGAAACAGUAAAGAAUCUGCCUGCAAUGCAGAAGACCUGGGUUAAAUCCCUGGGUCAGGAA
rnacentral:tRNA from 1 species